CCCAACAUCUUAUAAAAGACUGCCCCCAGCGAAUGAAGGAUGUGGCCAGACCUGUAGCGCAAGGGUCAUGUGUACCACCUGGAUGAACCUAGUGCUCUCCCCACUCUUAUUCUUAUCCAGGGUAUGUUUUUUAUUCACAAUACUUCUUCCAAGGCUUUGAUUGAUAUAGAUGCUACUCACUCUUUUAUUUCCUGUGCAAUUGCUUGUAAGCUUGACAUUAGGUCAAAACCUUUAGCAGAAAUAUUAACAGUAGAAACUCCCUGUAGGGGAUUAUUAGAAGCUCAUUGUUUAUAUGAAGAUUAUAAGAUAACAACUUC
rnacentral:lncRNA from 1 species